rnacentral:lncRNA from 1 species
UUAACUCCGGUGUCUAGCUCAGAUUUCUAAUAACACUAUGUAGUGCCAUAUCAUUCCUUUCCGCCGCUUCUAACAAGAUUCUAUCUAUAGCAAUCUCUGCCUAACUUCAACUUGCAACACAACUUAGCUGUUUCUGAAUAACCAUUUCAAUCACUUCUCGAUCAAUGCCUCGAUCAACGUCUCGUUCAAUUCUAUAUGAUGGCAAAAUAGUAUUUCAGUCGUCCGAUCAGACGGAUUAACUAAGCUCGAAAAGCAUUAAGACCUAUUAUAUAUCUACCCUUCGCAUAUACAUACCACAUAGUCAGAUAAACACAUAGCACAUAGUUCCACAAUAACCUUUUUUUUUAUAGCCACUUAGAUACUUAAAAUUUUCUAACAAAAUUUCGGCAGCACCUCCUCUAUUUAUCGGACUAUCCACCUGUUUUCUUAUACUAUUCAACAAGUAACCAACUCAAACCAAAUCAAUAAACCAACAAGUACUGAACCAAUAUCAAUUAAACACAAUCACUAUUAAACAUUAUUAACACUAACCAACCAAGUAUAACCUCAUAUUAUGCACUAACAAAGAAAGAAAACUAGAGCAAAUAGUUCAAAUAGCCCUUACUCUAUGAUUUUUAAUAAAUUGAAAACUUAUCGAUAUAAUAUGAAAUUUUUAUGAAAUACUCCUACACAUUAUUCCAACCUACAGUAAAAUUUUCAGAAAGCAAAUCCAAGCUUAAAGCAGUAAAACAGGCCUGUCAAUCAGGCACCAGAAACUGCUUUGCAAAACCAGCCAGACGCUAGAAUUUUUAAUAAAUAAAAAAAUUGGUCUGAUUGUAUAAAAUUUUAAUGACAUAUUCCAGAUACUAACAUCCAACUCUGGUAAAAAUUUCAGAAGCAAAGCUCGAGUUUAAGGUAGCAAAACAGGGCAUGGAACAGGACACGUAAACUUGCCCAGAAUUUUCUGCGCAUACCAUAGUAAAACGGUCAUAUCUCCUAGCUCGCUAAUCGAAUCGAUUCGAUUCUUUCGCGCACAUAAACUAGACUCUGAGGAGCACAUAACCACAGAAAUAUUAAGCAUAUAAUUCGACUCUAUAAGCCCAGAAUUUUACUGCAAACAGAUCAGCAGCAACCUACAAUUCAACCGAUUAUGUGUAAAUCUAAAUUUUUAGCCCAAUACUUAAACUCUUAAAACACCAUUCUGAAAACAUUUACACAAAAUCUCAGACCUUAAAACUUGAAUACUCAGUUAUAUAUUCCCAUAAUUCAAGUACCCAAGUCAUCCGAUUAUACUACUAGUUGGCGUACUAAUUAUAAUCAACUUACAACAAUCAAUUUAAAUGUCAAUUAAGCACACAAUUCAAUCAUACAAUUACUAAAACCCAUCUCAAUCUCAAAAAUUCAAUUCACCUCCAAUUACCAGCGUAUAAUCAGUUUAUACACAUACAAGCACACAUAAAUCGAUUAUAUAAAUCAAUUUAAUCCAUAUAAACACAACACCACAUAUAUAUACGUCUAUAUAGAACUGAUUUGACAAAUAGAAAUUAAGCUUUAUACCCACUGAUUUAUAACUGGUGACAGGCUAUGGUGGUCGCCGGAAUGAGGAAGUUCAGGCGGUGGCGGUUCUGGCCAGGAGAGAAAGCGUCGGCAGAGACCCGGCGGUUGCAACAGUGACAAAAGGAGAAAGAGCAUAAACACAAGAUCAGGAGUGAUUUGGGCGAGAAAAGAGACGUGUGAGAGAAUGAGAGAUUAGAGAGAGAUGAGAGUUGUGAU